ACGAACGCUGGCGGCGUGCCUAAUACAUGCAAGUCGAGCGGAAUGAUGAAGAAGCUUGCUUCUUCUGAUUUUAGCGGCGGACGGGUGAGUAACACGUGGGCAACCUACCUUGUAGAUUGGGAUAACUCCGGGAAACCGGGGCUAAUACCGAAUAAUCCAUUUUGCUUCAUGGCGAGAUGUUGAAAGACGGUUUCGGCUGUCACUACAAGAUGGGCCCGCGGCGCAUUAGCUAGUUGGUAGGGUAAUGGCCUACCAAGGCGACGAUGCGUAGCCGACCUGAGAGGGUGAUCGGCCACACUGGGACUGAGACACGGCCCAGACUCCUACGGGAGGCAGCAGUAGGGAAUCUUCCACAAUGGACGAAAGCCUGAUGGAGCAACGCCGCGUGAGUGAAGAAGGUUUUCGGAUCGUAAAACUCUGUUGUAAGGGAAGAACACGUACGAGAGUAACUGCUCGUACCUUGACGGUACCUUAUUAGAAAGCCACGGCUAACUACGUG
rnacentral:rRNA from 1 species